AGGACGAACGCUGGCGGCGUGCUUAACACAUGCAAGUCAAGGGGGCCCAGCAAUGGGCAACCGGCGAACGGGUGCGUAACACAUGAGCAACCUACCGAACUGUGGGGGAUAGCCGGCCUAACGGCCGAGUAAUACCGCAUACGCUCUCAGGGAGGCAUUUCUUUGAGAGGAAACCUACGGGACAGAUCGAGGGGCUCGCGGCCUAUCAGCUAGUGCGAGGUAACGCUCACCAAGGCAACGACGGGUAGCUGGUCUGAGAGGAUGGCCAGCCACAUUGGGACUGAGAUACGGCCCAGACUCCGUACGGGAGGCAGCAGUCGGGGAAUCGUUGCGCAAGUGGCCUAACGGCUAGACGCAGCGACGCCGCGUAGGUGGAUGAAGCUACGUUCGGAGUACGUAAACCACGUU
rnacentral:rRNA from 1 species